rnacentral:rRNA from 1 species
CUACGGGCCGCACCAGUGGGGAAUUUUGCGCAAUGGGGGAAACCCUGACGCAGCAAUACCGCGUGAGUGAAGAAGGCCUUUGGGUCGUAAAGCUCUUUUCUUGGGGAAGAUAGUGACGGUACCCAAGGAAUAAGCACCGGCUAACUCCGUGCCAGCAGCCGCGGUAAUACGGAGGGUGCAAGCGUUGUUCGGAUUUACUGGGCGUAAAGGGCACGUAGGCGGCACAGCAGGUAAGGGUGAAAUCCCGGGGCUCAACGCCGGAACUGCUCUUAAAACUGCUGAGCUAGAGAUAGUCAGAGGCGGGUGGAAUUCCAGGUGUAGAGGUGAAAUUCGUAGAUAUCUGGAGGAACACCGGUGGCGAAGGCGGCCCGCUGGGGCUAUUCUGACGCUAAGGUGCGAAAGCGUGGGGAGCAAACGGGAUUAGAUACCCUCGUAGUC